rnacentral:rRNA from 1 species
AACGAACGCUGGCGGCAGGCUUAACACAUGCAAGUCGAACGCCACCUUCGGGUGGAGUGGCAGACGGGUGAGUAACGCGUGGAAACAUACCUUUUGCUUCGGAAUAUUCCCGGGAAACUGGGAGCAAUACCGAAUGUGCCCUGAGGGGGAAAGAUUUAUCGGCAAAAGAUUGGUCCGCGUUAGAUUAGGUAGUUGGUAGGGUAAAGGCCUACCAAGCCUACGAUCUAUAGCUGGUCUGAGAGGAUGAUCAGCCACAUUGGGACUGAGACACGGACCAAACUCCUACGGGAGGCAGCAGUGGGGAAUAUUGGACAAUGGGCGCAAGCCUGAUCCAGCCAUGCCGCGUGAAUGAUGAAGGCCUUAGGGUUGUAAAAUUCUUUCACCGGGGACGAUAAUGACGGUACCCGGAGAAGAAGCCCCGGCUAACUUCGUGCCAGCCGCCGCCGUAA